UAGAUGGAUAAGUAAAUAACGACAUAGGUUCUAUUGUUCUAUUGAGCAUUUUGAUUAUGUAGCUUUUUAAGUUACUUAUGUUAGCCUAAAAAUGAUAAGGAACUACAGUUCAUAUGCAUUUUUUUCUAUACCCAGAUAAACCAUAUUCACGAGAAUUCUGAUUGGCCAUGGAUAUAUCUGGUCCUAGAACAAGAGGAAGUCUUGUUAAGCAUUCCCCAGAGAGAAGAGGUCUUUCCAGGGCUACUAAUGCUCUCUCCUGCAGGGUAAAGUGCCUUCUCAACUGGAUGCCCACGCGAUGACAUUGCUUCCCUGUGGCUCUUGGUUCAGAAAAUUGAGGAGGGCCUGAGAGACUGAACACAAGCAAAAAGCAAGAUCAACUAAGUGCCGUUGCCUUCCUUUUAAGUUGGUGAAUAAAAACCUUGAAUUCUUUUUGGUAUUCUUGUUUGAUUUGAGGUUUCCCCCCAGUAUCUGAAAGUACAGCGUUCCUAUGAAACCUUUGGACAAUAAGACAGAAGCAGGAUAAAAGAAACUUGCCAACUGAUAUUGGUCUCCAAUUUCUACUAAACAGAAUAGUGAAGGAGGAACAGGAGCCCAAUGAGUAUUCACAGGUGAAGUCUUAUUUUAUAGAAGUGCUGACUCAUUCACCUUUCUCUUAACUACCAGUCAUCACAUUGAAGACACCAAAGAGCCGUCAUGAGCCUUAACUGAGAAAGUGCCAUAACAAGGUGAAAUACUGCAAGGGCCAGUCCAAGCAUCACUUCCGAGCUGUCACAAAGCAUUCCCUUGCUCGCCUUGCCCAGGGCCAUGAAGCAUUUCGACCAGACCCGCGGGACUGAACACCACGGCAGAGAACCGACCGCGGCGCCUCAGGUUGGGAUGUUCUUUCUCACAGGAAUGGCCAACCCGCGAUGUACAGAGCAGCUUUCCUUCAGUGUAAUGACUGAAGAUCAGCAGUUGGAUGGACAAGUGUUAUAGAAGUAGGGGUGCUGGUUUUGAGAGGCAAGGAAACAGAAGAGCAGGGGAAAGUGUGCAGCAGGCAGCUGAACUCCCUCACUAGGACCCAGGCCAGCAGGCAUGGCCUGCAUGGGCAUGAAGGCCCAGAUUGGCUCAGAGACUAGCCAUGUAAAGCACCGAGGUCUAAAAAUAGAUCUCCCUGCUCUGAUAAAACGGGCCUCUUCAUGACGUACCCAUCACACUGACUAACCUGCCUGGUCCCAGACUAUUCCUCUAGGGUCAUUUUCGAGGUGCUCUACGAAUCCCCAUGGUCACCAAAAAAUCUGCCCUUCACCUGGACCUCGAAAACUUUGACACUAGUACUUUUCGGAUUUAUUGGAGUAAGAGGAGGCUUCCUAAAACCUAACUAAAGUCAAGAAGCCCUGUGGAGAUUGUUACUCUUAUUGUUUCUGCUGCUCGCAUUGGAUAUUACCUUUGUAUAUUAUGUGCUAGCACUAAAUGCAGACCCGUCUUUCUCUUCAGUUUGUAAACUCAGCCUGAGUUCUUGACAGUGACCCUGGAAAACAUUGUCUAUAUUUCUCCCGGGUCAGGCAAGUCUCCUGAGGAUACAGAGAAUGUACAAGGCAGAGUUCCUGCCUUAGUAGAGCAUACAGAUGAAUAAAAAGGCAAUAAUUAUAUGUUUUAUAAGUCUCAUGUCACAGAGAUAUAAACAGGACAGUCUGAGGGUACCAAGAAGCAGCCCCUAACCCUGUUCUAUGAGGUGAGGGGAGGUUUCCAAGAGGAUGAGCUAGAUUAGCCAGGUGAGAGGUGGAGGGGCCUUUAUGACAGAGAUUAUAGCAAAUGCAGUCUUGAGGGCAGAGACGUGGUCUGUCCAGAGAAUUUGAAACAGGUCAAAAUGGUUGAAUCACGAGACAUGAGAAAGGGGGCAGUAAGACGUAAGAAUGGAGAGAUCAAGACAAGACCAUGAUACCAUUUUAAGAAGGCUGUAUGAUAUCCUUAAGCCAGAGGGAAAUUAUCAGAGGUUCUAGGGAAAGGAGUGAUGUGACCUUCAAAAUUUAAGCUACUUCAGGGAACAGAUUAGUGGCUGUCAGACAUCCAGGGGAUAAGGGUGGCUGAAAUGGGUGAAGGUGGUCAAAAGGUACAAACUUCCACUGUUAAGAUAAAUAAA